AGAGUUUGAUCCUGGCUCAGGACGAACGCUGGCGGUGUGCUUCACACAUGCAAGUCGAACGGGGUAGCAAUAUCCAGUGGCGGACGGGUGAGUAACGCGUAGGAAUCUGCCUUUAGGUGGGGGAUAGCAGACCGAAAGGUCUAUUAAUACCGCAUAUGUAUGCACUUAGACAUUUGUGCAUAUGAAAAGAGUAAUCUGCC
rnacentral:rRNA from 1 species